AUUGAACGCUGGCGGCAGGCCUAACACAUGCAAGUCGAACGAGUGGCGGACGGGUGAGUAAUGUCUGGGAACCUGCCUGAUGGAGGGGGUUAACUACUGGAAACGGUAGUUAAUACCGCAUACCAUCUGAUGCGCCCAGACGGGAUUAGCUAGUAGGUGGGGUAACGGCUCACCUAGGCCACGAUCCCUAGCUGGUCUGCGAGGAUGACCAGGCACACUGGAACUGAGACACGGUCCAGACUCCUACGGGAGGCAGCAGUGGGGAAUAUUGCGUAAUGGGCGCAAGACUGAUGCAGCCAUGCCGCGUGUAUGAAGAAGGCCUACGGGUUGUAAAGUACUUUCAGCGGGGAGGCGUUACCCGCAAAGGAAGCACCGGCUAACUCCGUGCCAGCAGCCGCGGUAAUAC
rnacentral:rRNA from 1 species